rnacentral:rRNA from 1 species
CCAAUAGCGUAUAUUAAAGUUGUUGCAGUUAAAAAGCUCGUAGUUGAAUUUCGAGACCGGUUUACUGGUCGUGCUUUUGUACGUACUGGUAUUAUUGGUUUCUCCUUUCUGACGAAUCAUAAUGCCAUUAAUUUGGUGUUUUUGGGAAUCAGGACUGUUACUUUGAAAAAAUUAGAGUGUUUAAAGCAGGCUCACGCUUGAAUACAUUAGCAUGGAAUAACGAAAUAGGACGUUUGAUUUUAUUUUGUUGGUUUCUAGGAUCGACGUAAUGAUUAAUAGGGAUAGUUGGGGGCAUUAGUAUUCAAUUGUCAGAGGUGAAAUUCUUGGAUUUAUUGAAGACUAACUACUGCGAAAGCAUUUGCCAAGGAUGUUUUCAUUAAUCAAGAACGAAAGUUAGGGGAUCGAAGACGAUCAGAUACCGUCGUAGUCUUAACCAUAAACUAUGCCGACUAGGGAUCGGAUGAUGUUAAUUUUUUAAUGACUCAUUCGGCGCCUUACG